UAUAUCUUUGUAGCUUUGUAAUAGUUAAACUCACGAGCCAAACUAUCAUUUUUUAUCUUAGUAUUGCCUUUAACCAGCCUUUUUCUCUCUGAUUUUUUCAUUUGAUUCAACUGUGGUAAUAUAAACACAAAAAUCCAAAUGUAAACACCGUAAUCUGAUAAGCAAAAAUAAAUUUAACUAAAUUUCAUAUUCCUGAAAAAUAAGACAAAAACCAAUGAUGUCUAUAAUAUACAAAAAGAGACAUAAAUCUUAUCCAAUUUAAAAUACCCACAAAAUUAUACAAAAAACAAAAAAAGGACAAUUUGCAAAACAAUUAGUUACAAAAAGAAGUUGAAUAUUCAAGAAAUAUUUUAAUUCGCAAGCAAAAGUAUAUGAUUAGAUUUUAUAUACCAAUUGGUUGUAGUAAUCCAGGUAUAUAUAGUGAUUUUAACGCGAAAAGAAAUAAAAAAGUUUCGUUACGUUGAGAUGAUGACCUUUUGAUUGAGAAUAUUGCACUCCAUAGCAGAGAACGAUCACAAGUUUUGGUUGACAAUCUGUAGGAAUAAAUACAUUUGAACAGUUUCAUCCCUCUAAACUGUUAAACAACCCCAAAGUAUAUCAUAAGGUGAAUAGACAAAGAUUUGAAGAUUCAACAAUA
rnacentral:lncRNA from 1 species